CACCUACGGGUGGCAGCAGUAAGGAAUAUUGGUCAAUGGACGCAAGUCUGAACCAGCCAUGCCGCGUGGAGGAUGAAGGUCCUCUGGAUUGUAAACUUCUUUUAUUUGGGAAGAAACCCCCGAUUUCUAUUGGGGUUGACGGUACCAGAUGAAUAAGCACCGGCUAACUCCGUGCCAGCAGCCGCGGUAAUACGGAGGGUGCAAGCGUUAUCCGGAUUCACUGGGUUUAAAGGGUGCGUGGGCGGGCAGGUAAGUCCGUGGUGAAAUCUCCAAGCUUAACUUGGAAACUGCCGUGGAUACUAUUUGUCUUGAAUAUAGUGGAGGUGAGCGGAAUAUGUCAUGUAGCGGUGAAAUGCUUAGAUAUGACAUAGAACACCCAUUGCGAAGGCAGCUCGCUACACUAUUAUUGACGCUGAGGCACGAAAGCGUGGGGAUCAAACAGGAUUAGAUACCCUGGUAGUCCACGCCCUAAACGAUGAUUACUCGACAUCAGCGAUACACUGUUGGUGUCUGAGCGAAAGCAUUAAGUA
rnacentral:rRNA from 1 species